rnacentral:lncRNA from 1 species
CGUCCAGCGAUCAGCACAACACAGGGAAGUGACGGCAGAUUAAACAACAACUUUCCUGAAAGGCGAAAAUGAGCCGAGACCUGUUGGCUCCCGCUCCACUGGGCCAACCACCUGCACCUGCUCAGGGAGAGAAGCUGUCAGGAUCCUGCCGUGGACUUCCUGUGUGGGACUUUUAUUUUGAAGGACUGUGCAGGAUCUAGUUUGUGUCCAUUCGUUUUACCUUGUUUUGAUUUUGAUUGUUUUCACCUGUACCUCAUUUUCCUCCCCUAGUUUAAAUACCCCUCCUGUUCCCUCAGUUCUUUGCUAGGUUGUCUGUGUUGCUUUCCCUUGAUGGUUGUCAUCCCAGCACUUGAUUACUGGACAUUCCCUGCCUUUUUUGUUCCUGCCAUGUCUGUGUUUCCCCUGUCUGGAUUUUCAUCUGUGGAGCCCUUGUGUUGUUAAGUAACUUUGUUUCUGUCGCUUUGAGUUUGCUUCUCUGUGUCUUGUGUCAGUGUUCUGUCUGUGUAGCCUGAUGCGUCUGAGUGAUGCACUUGAGGCCGUGUUCCUUGUUUCGUGUCUGUAUUUUCUGUCUGCCUGCGGUGUCCCCAGAGUGUGCGUAACCCAGGCAGUUCUGAGUGUGUAUAUGUGUUAGCAUCCCCUGCUAUGUCUUCAGGAGCGAGUGUGACCCAGGUUGGAUGCCUUGUCCUGUGUUAGUCUGUUAGCAUCCCCUGUUGUGUCCCCGAGUGAGUGCAUGACCCAGGGUGGAUGCCCCGUCCCGAGUUUCCUGUGUGAGUCUGUGUCCCCGUGAGCGUGCGUGACCAGACCAUAUUCCGAGUCUGUGUUUUUGAGUCUGUGUUCCCGCGUGAGUGUGCGACCAGACGUAUGCUUAGUUCUCCGACUUUGUCUAUGUUCCAGGUUCUGUUUUGUCUUGUCUGCAGUAAACCCCUAGUUCUCUCCCGACCCGUGCCCUGUUCUGUGUUCUGAUUUCUGUUAAUAAAACCCUGCCUGCACAGAGUACCAGCCCUGUGAGUGUCUUUUGGGCCUUUUAAAAACAAGAACCUCAGGUUCUGACAGAAGCCAAUAUAGGAGAAAUAUGAUCUCUCUUGCUAGUUCCUGUCAAGACUCUGGCUGCAGCAUUCUGGAUUAACUGGAGGCUUU